UACGGAGGGGGCUAGCGUUGUUCGGAAUUACUGGGCGUAAAGCGCGCGUAGGCGGACCUGCAAGUCGGGGGUGAAAGCCCGAGGCUCAACCUCGGAACUGCCUUCGAUACUGCGGGUCUCGAGUCCGGGAGAGGUGAGUGGAAUUCCUAGUGUAGAGGUGAAAUGCGUAGAUAUCGGGAGGAACACCAGUGGCGAAGGCGACUUCCUGGCCUGUUCUUGACGCUGAGGCGCGAAAGCUAGGGGAGCAAACGGG
rnacentral:rRNA from 1 species